GCCUAAGAUGACAUUAUAUACUGACGGAUUCUUUACUAUAAAGUAGUUUAUUUCCAUGAUAGCUUAUUAUAGAGCUCAUCUAGCUAUCGUACAUGGUGAGAGAGAUAAUUCUUUUUACGGGCCCGUGCUGCUUAAGAAUCCAAUUAGAGAUGAGUUCCUCUUCACUAGCCAUUCAGAAUUUAAGUUCAUUCGAACAAAUGCAUCA
rnacentral:lncRNA from 1 species